rnacentral:rRNA from 1 species
AUUGAACGCUGGCGGCAGGUCUAACACAUGCAAGUCGAACGCGUGGCGGACGGGUGAGUAAUGUCGGGGAAACUGCCUGAUGGAGGGGGAUAACUACUGGAAACGGUCGCUAAUACCGCAUACCCUCGGAUGUGCCCAUAUGGGAUUAGCUAGUAGGUGGGGGAAAGGCUCACCUAGGCGACGAUCCCUAGCUGGUCUGAGAGGAUGACCAGCCACACUGGGACUGAGCCACGGUCCAGACUCCUACGGGAGGCAGCAGUGGGGAAUAUUGCACAAUGGGCGCAAGCCUGAUGCAGCCAUGCCGCGUGUAUGAAGAAGGCCCUCGGGUUGUAAAGUACUUUCAGUGGGGAGGCGUUACCCGCAGAAGAAGCACCGGCUAACUCCGUGCCAGCCGCCGCGGUAAUUC